rnacentral:rRNA from 1 species
UACGUAGGGUGCGAGCGUUAAUCGGAAUUACUGGGCGUAAAGUGUGCGCAGGCGGCCGCGCAAGUCGAGUGUGAAAGCCCUGGGCUUAACCUGGGAAUUGCAGUCGAAACUACUCGGCUAGAGUAUGGGAGAGGACAGUGGAAUUCCCGGUGUAGCGGUGAAAUGCGUAGAUAUCGGGAGGAACAUCAGUGGCGAAGGCGGCUGUCUGGCCCAAUACUGACACUCAG